rnacentral:rRNA from 1 species
CCAGACUCCUACGGGAGGCAGCAGUGGGGAAUAUUGCACAAUGGGGGAAACCCUGAUGCAGCGACGCCGCGUGAGUGAAGAAGUAUAUCGGUAUGUAAAGCUCUAUCAGCAGGAACGAGACAAGACGGUACCUGACUAAGAAGCCCCGGCUAACUACGUGCCAGCAGCCGCGGUAAUACGUAGGGGGCAAGCGUUAUCCGGAAUCACUGGGUGUAAAGGGAGCGUAGACGGCUGUGCAAGCCUGAAGUGAAAGGCGGGGGCCCAACCCCCGGACUGCUUUGGGAACUGUACGGCUGGAGUGCAGGAGAGGUAAGUGGAAUUCCUAGUGUAGCGGUGAAAUGCGUAGAUAUUAGGGGGAACACCAGUGGCGAAGGCGGCUUUCUGGACUGAAACUGACGCUGAGGCACGAAAGCGUGGGGAGCGAACAGGAUUAGAUACCCGUGUA